ACUCCUACGGGAGGCAGCAGUGGGGAAUAUUGGACAAUGGGGGGAACCCUGAUCCAGCCAUGCCGCGUGUGUGAAGAAGGCCUUUUGGUUGUAAAGCACUUUAAGCGAGGAGGAGGCUUACCUGGUUAAUACCUGGGAUAAGUGGACGUUACUCGCAGAAUAAGCACCGGCUAACUCUGUGCCAGCAGCCGCGGUAAUACAGAGGGUGCGAGCGUUAAUCGGAUUUACUGGGCGUAAAGCGCGCGUAGGUGGUUAAUUAAGUCAAAUGUGAAAUCCCCGAGCUUAACUUGGGAAUUGCAUUCGAUACUGGUUAGCUAGAGUAUGGGAGAGGAUGGUAGAAUUCCAGGUGUAGCGGUGAAAUGCGUAGAGAUCUGGAGGAAUACCGAUGGCGAAGGCAGCCAUCUGGCCUAAUACUGACACUGAGGUGCGAAAGCAUGGGGAGCAAACAGGAUUAGAUACCCUGGUAGUCCAUGCCGUAAACGAUGUCUACUAGCCGUUGGGGGAUUUGAUCCUUUAGUGGCGCAGCUAACGCGAUAAGUAGACCGCCUGGGGAGUACGGUCGCAAGACUAAAACUCAAAUGAAUUGACGGGGGCCCGCACAAGCGGUGGAGCAUGUGGUUUAAUUCGAUGCAACGCGAAGAACCUUACCUGGCCUUGACAUAGUAGARACUUUCCAGAGAUGGAUUGGUGCCUUCGGGAAUCUACAUACAGGUGCUGCAUGGCUGUCGUCAGCUCGUGUCGUGAGAUGUUGGGUUAAGUCCCGCAACGAGCGCAACCCUUUUCCUUACUUGCCAGCAUUUCGGAUGGGAACUUUAAGGAUACUGCCAGUGACAAACUGGAGGAAGGCGGGGACGACGUCAAGUCAUCAUGGCCCUUACGGCCAGGGCUACACACGUGCUACAAUGGUCGGUACAAAGGGUUGCUACACAGCGAUGUGAUGCUAAUCUCAAAAAGCCGAUCG
rnacentral:rRNA from 1 species